CCUACGGGAUGCUGCAGUGAGGAAUAUUUGUCAAUGGGCGCGAGCCUGAACCAGCCAAGUAGCGUGAAGGAUGACUGCCCUACGGGUUGUACACUUCUUUUAUAAAGGAAUAAAGUGAGGCACGGGUGCCUUUUUGUAUGUACUUUAUGAAUAAGGAUCGGCUAACUCCGUGCCAGCAGCCGCGGUAAUACGGAGGAUCCGAGCGUUAUCCGGAUUUAUUGGGUUUAAAGGGAGCGUAGAUGGGUUGUUAAGUCAGGUGUGAAAGUUUGCGGAGCAACCGUAAAAUUGCAAUUUAUACUGGCAGUCUUGAGUACAGUUGAGGUAGGCGGAAUUCGUGGUGUAGCGGUGAAAUGCUUAGAUAUCACGAAGAACUCCGAUUGCGAAGGCAGCUUACUAAACUGCCACUGACAUUGAUGCUCGAAAGUGUGGGUAUCAAACAGGAUUAGAUACCCCAGUAGUC
rnacentral:rRNA from 1 species